AUUAGGCAUGCAAGGUCGAACGGUAUUGGACCGUUUCGGGGUUCUAGAGAGUGGCGAACGGGUGAGUAACACGUUGGGUAAUCCUACCCGUCGAAGACGGGGACGAACCCAGGGAAACUUGGGCUAAUACCGGAUGUGUGUAGUGGACUAUUUUUCUGAUUAUCAUUAUUUACGUAAGUGAGUAAUAAUAAGAAGGGAAAGUGGUUAUUACAUAAAAGGUGGCGUAAGCUGCCGCUUGGGGAUGAGCCUGCGUCCUAUUAGUUAGUUGGUGAGGUAACGGCUCACCUAGGCAAUGAUAGGUAGGCGGCCUUAACGGGUGGUCGCCCACACUGGGAUUGAGAUACGGCCCAGACUCCUACGGGAGGCAGCAGUCGAGAAUAGUCUACAAUGGUCGGAAGACUGAUAGUGCGACGCCGCGUGAACGAUGAAUCCCUUCGGGGUGUAAAGUUCUUUUAUAUGUGAGCAGUGCUUCUUAUAUUAACAGUAUGGGGAGAGAGAUAUUAGCAUAUGAAUAAGCAACGGCUAACUCCGUG
rnacentral:rRNA from 1 species